rnacentral:rRNA from 1 species
AAAUGACUCUCGGCAACGGAUAUCUCGGCUCUCGCAUCGAUGAAGAACGUAGCGAAAUGCGAUACGUGGUGUGAAUUGCAGAAUCCCGCGAACCAUUGAGUCUUUGAACGCAAGUUGCGCCCGAGGCCAUCCGGCCGAGGGCACGCCUGCCUGGGCGUCACGC